rnacentral:rRNA from 1 species
UGGGGAAUAUUGGACAAUGGGGGAAACCCUGAUCCAGCCAUGCCGCGUGAGUGAUGAAGGCCCUAGGGUUGUAAAGCUCUUUUGCCAGGGAAGAUAAUGACGGUACCUGGAGAAUAAGACACGGCUAACUUCGUGCCAGCAGCCGCGGUAAUACGAAGGUGUCUAGCGUUGUUCGGAAUCACUGGGCGUAAAGCGCGCGCAGGCGGGCUAUCAAGUCAGGGGUGAAAUCCUGAGGCUUAACCUCAGAAUUGCCUUUGAAACUGAUAGUCUGGAGUGCAGAAGGGGAUAGCGGAAUUCCGAAUGUAGAGGUGAAAUUCGUAGAUAUUCGGAGGAACACCGGUGGCGAAGGCGGCUAUCUGGUCUGCAACUGACGCUGAGGCGCGAAAGCGUGGGGAUCAAA